CCGCCGCCGCCGCCGCGCCACCGGUGUCAACCUCCUUCGGGAGACUCCAUUUGCUCUCAGCACGAGCUGGCCGCCGUGCAGGCAGGCGGAGAGCGAUGCCCGCAGUCGGCGAACUGGCGUCGUCUGCGCCAAGCGGCUGCUCACCGGCUGGCUGGCCGCGGCGGUGACACCCUGGUCGCCCGCGUCCAGGCAGAAUCCGGGCUCCCUCCGCGGGAGGAAAGACGUCCCGCGCUCCGGAGCUCGCGCGGCGGCGGGGAGAGGCCCUGGCUAACAAGGCUUCCCUCUGACCUCUUAAUUUCAGGAGGUAGGCUAUUGAGGUCCCUCUCGGUCAACCCAGAUAAUGCCUAAAAGCAUUAUUUGUCGCAUUUAGCUCUCACGUUGAUAGGAGGUGUUAAUUUUCUCAACAUAGUUGCAGGGUAGGUGUGGGUAAUGCCACAGACCCCGAUACUGAAAAGAGAAAUGUUUUUUGGUAUUUUCCUUUAGGUUUCAGAGGCUGCGAGUACCUAUACAGCCCUCACAGGAACUUCUGUUGGCCCAUGGAGGAUCAUCUCUCACCAGGACUAUUGUAACAUCUUCACCGAGCUUUCCACCCCACUGCCUCUACCUUGGGUCCUGAUUUCUACCCAUGAAGUUUUUUUGAUGCUUUCUUUAAUCACGUGGCAUUACCUCUUGCCCACCUUUCCCCUUUCCAAUAGCAAAUUACAUUAGGUGAGAAUACUGAAAUAACAACAGGAGCUGCUCUAACCUAAGUGAAUGAACUAAUGAAAUACUCCCAAGUUCAUGCUGCUAAGUCAGGACUGGUGAUGCUACAUGAGAAACAGUGAUAGGAGAUGGAAACUUAUGUCAGUUCUGCCUUUGAACUUGAGGUAUGGAGUCUUGCAGAAGUUACAACCCUUCAUGAUGGAGUCAGACCCAGGAAUCAGAGUCAGAAGAAGGACCCAGAGGUGGGCAGAGCAGGCCUGGGUGCUGCCUCACACCAUCCAGGGCCACUUUCCCUGGACUCAGAAAGUUUGCUUCUGAGAAGUGCUUCUCAAAGCUGGUGGCCUCAGAGGCCGCACUCAGUGCGAAAUCUCUGGCCUGCAGAUCUGCUCAGGAUGUUCUGCGUGUUUCCAUAGCCUGGAUUGUUAAAUCUUUUCAGGAUCCCUUGGAGCCCUAAAGCCGGCUCCCUGCAGAAACAUGUGAUGAAGACUUGAUGAAUGCUGUGUCUGGUACACUGCCAUGUACGCAGGCUGUUUUGUGACAAAUACGAAUGGUCAAGUUCAUUGUAUAUAGUAGAGCAAAAUUCUACCUGUACUUGUACACACGAAUAUGACUGUCUUUAAAAACAGUUAUCCAGCAUUGUUCCCAUAGUGAAUACCUACAGGAGAGAUUUGCAAAUUGCCUGUGUUAUUAAUUCUCCCCACAAGUUGGCAGGAUGACUGGAUGAUAAUUAGGCCUCUCCUAAAUAAUUGGCCAAGUAGAACAUCAGAAGUAUGGAAGAUAAGAAGUUUCUGCUCUCUCCAUGUAAGUAAGAAGUAUUAUGAAAUUCUGUAGCAUUUUAGUCAGCUAGAGAGGCCUCAUUGAGCAAAUUCCUCUCCACUACCUCAGGGCCUUCAGCUCCAGGGUAUGAAUAAAAGAAGAAAGAAAAUUUCCACAGCUUAUUGGGAAACACAGGGAAGUCUGAGAAUAGAGAGUGACUGUUCCUGCCAGAAGGUCCCUGUUUUCAAGGAGAGAGUGAAUGCUAUUGUCAUGAUACCAGGGUGACUUGAUAACGAGGCAUUGUUUCUGUGGGUCUGUAGUCCUGGCACGAACCCAGGGGCAAUGUGGAAAGUGGGGAGACCACUUACUUGGGUGUGCUAGAAAAUAAUCUUCUAGUUAUAUUAGUCUCAGAUGCUUUAGCAGCCAAUGCAGUAAAGACAGGACAUUCCGAGAUGAGGUGGAGCAAGCUGCAUCUUAGAGAGGGCAAGUGAAGAGAAGCGGACCACACAGAGAUCAGACACCUCCAGUCCCGUUUCAAGACAGUAGGCAAGCAUCCAUCUAGAUCCAGACUCCUUCCUGAGGAGAAUGAGGGAAAGGGAGACUCACAGGAAUGCUGUCCUGAUAUGAAAUUUGAAUGGACUAAUUGAAUUCUCUGGAGGCUACGAGGAGUUAAAACAGGAAGUGACCAACAUUGCCUUUAAUUGGCAAAUGUUAAUGAGUCGCAUUUUCUGCAUCCUCUCCCAAUGUCCAAGCAUGUGCAAUGCAAACUGAGCUUAGUAAUAGACAAGAGAAAUUUAUUUCCUUAUGAGUUGUGAUGAAAAGAAAUAAAGUUGCUCUGUGUUCAAAAUAUAAGCCAUUUCCUACCAACUGUUUAGUUUGCUGUAUACCCUGAACCAUUAACUCAUUCUCUCUGAUAUCUACUUUGUAUAAUGUUGACAGAGAUUCUGGUAAGAAG
ensembl:lincRNA